AUUGAACGCUGGCGGCAGGCCUAACACAUGCAAGUCGAGCGAGCGACGGACGGGUAAUGAAUGUCUGGGAAACUGCCUGAUGGAGGGGGAUAACUACUGGAGGCGGUAACUACUACCGCAUACCAUCGGGUGUGCCCAGGUGGGAUUAGCUAGUAGGUGGGGUAACGGCUCACCUAGGCGACGGUCCCUAGCUGGUCUGAGAGGAUGACCAGCCACACUGGAACUGAGACACGGUCCAGACUCCUACGGGAGGCAGCAGUGGGGAAUAUUGGACAAUGGGCGCAAGCCUGAUGCAGCCAUGCCGCGUGUAUGAAGAAGGCCUUCGGGUUGUAAAGCACUUUAAGCGGGGAGGCGUUACCCGCAGAAGAAGCACCGGCUAACUCCGUGCCAGCAGCCGCGGUAAUUC
rnacentral:rRNA from 1 species